UACGUAGGGGGGCUAGCGUUGUCCGGAAUCAUUGGGCGUAAAGCGUGCGUAGACGGUUAUUUAAGUCGGGUGUGAAAGCCCCCGGGCUCAACCUGGGGAAUUGCAUUCGAGACUGAAUAGCUAGGGUACGGUAGAGGGAAGCGGAAUUUCCGGUGUAGCGGUGAAAUGCGUAGAUAUCGGAAGGAACAUCAGUGGCGAAAGCGGCUUCCUGGACCAGUACCGACGUUCAGGCACGAAAGCGUGGGGAGCAAACAGG
rnacentral:rRNA from 1 species